rnacentral:rRNA from 1 species
AUUGAACGCUGGCGGCAGGCCUCACACAUGCAAGUCGAGCGAGCGGCGGACGGGUGAGUAAUGCCUAGGAAUCUGCCUGGAAGUGGGGGAUACCGUACGGAAACGGUAGCUAAUACCGCAUACCAUCUGAUGUGCCCAGGUGGGAUUAGCUUGUAGGUGAGGUAACGGCUUACCUAGGCGACGAUCCCUAGCUGGUCUGAGAGGAUGACCAGCCAAACGGGAACUGAGACCCGGUCCAGACUCUUACGGGAGGCAGAAGGGGGGAAUAUUGCACAAUGGGCGCAAGCCUGAUGCAGCCAUGCCGCGUGUAGGAAGAAGGCCUUCGGGUUGUAAAGUACUUUCAGCGGGGAGGCGUUACCCGCAGAAGAAGCACCGGCUAACUCCGUGCCAGCAGCCGCGGUAAUAC